rnacentral:lncRNA from 1 species
GCUUUACCAGGUUUUCAAGAUUUCAUUUGUUGAAACCUAUUAACUAGUUAACUGGUUCCCAAAGUGUGGUCCCUGGACCCCAGCAGCAUCAGUAACAUCGGAGACUUGUAUAAAACACAAAAGCUGGUGUCCCACCCAAGCUCUAUUGGGGUUCCACCCAAGAUCCAUUGAAUGCAUCAGCAACUCUAGAGCCCACUCUUCCCAGCCCAACAAGACACUGUGCUUUCUCUGGGCCUGCCCGCCAGCACACAUCUCCUCGGGGUAUGUAUGUACUAAAAUAUCUUCCCUUUAUUUUAUCUGGUCUUCGCCCCAUGGGGCAAGCCAAAGGCUCCUAUUUAUUCUUUCACACAUUAAUUUAAGCUGCUUUAAUUGCUGCUAUGAUAUGUUUUAUAUAAUAUAAUUAAUGUUUUAAUUCUGUGUACUUGCUUCCCCAGGCAGUUUUGCGAAAGACCCAAUUUUGGAAUCAAGCAAAUAAAGACUAAAUAAUGGC